rnacentral:rRNA from 1 species
CAGCCGCCACGGUAAUACGUAGGGUGCAAGCGUUGUCCGGAAUUAUUGGGCGUAAAGAGCUCGUAGGCGGUUUGUCGCGUCUGCUGUGAAAUCCCGAGGCUCAACCUCGGGCUUGCAGUGGGUACGGGCAGACUAGAGUGCGGUAGGGGAGAUUGGAAUUCCUGGUGUAGCGGUGGAAUGCGCAGAUAUCAGGAGGAACACCGAUGGCGAAGGCAGAUCUCUGGGCCGUAACUGACGCUGAGGAGCGAAAGCGUGGGGAGCGAACAGGAUUAGAUACCCCUGUAGUCCCUGUCUCUUAACA